GCCGAACCGUGCAAACGUUGUUCGGAUUCACUGGGCUUAAAGGGCGCGUAGGCGGGCGGUCAAGUCGGGGGUGAAAUCUUUCAGCUUAACUGGAAAAGUGCCUCCGAUACUGAUCGUCUUGAGGGAGGUAGGGGCAUGUGGAACUUCCGGUGGAGCGGUGAAAUGCGUAGAUAUCGGAAGGAACGCCGGUGGCGAAAGCGACGUGCUGGACCUCUUCUGACGCUGAGGCGCGAAAGCUAGGGGAGCGAACGGG
rnacentral:rRNA from 1 species